GGUGGCUUAGUGGUAGAGCGCUUGCCUAGCAUGCAUGAAGCCCUGGGUUCCAUUCCUCAGCACCA
rnacentral:tRNA from 1 species